UUCGACACUCUUAUGAAACAAUUUUUUUCUAAACCCUUUUGACCUUACGAUUUUUACCUUACGGAUUCUACUAUAUAAAUCGGGAUGGUUGGCUCAUGUAAAAGUGCUACACUCUUGGAAACACAACACUAACUUAUCAGGCGAAACCAUGGAGUUCAUCCUAGCCGAUGAGAAUAAGGGUCACAAAAUCCAUCCCUCAUUCAAGAAGACAUACCUAAAGAGUUAAGGAAGGCUUCUUCCGGUUGUAGCAUGGAUAAACAUCUAGAAUUUUAACCUGAGUACUGCACCAGAAAUGUAUCGGUCAACAAAUCAUACAUACAAGAUGGGGGUUUGCAGAAAAAUUUAAGAACUCAUUCAAUGAUGAGGAAAGAGCGAUUACAUUGUUUGAAACCAAUGAAGAAAAUCUUGAAAAAGAUUGCAAUAAGCUUGAGCAAUCAGAGAAGAGUUAAGCGUGAUAAAUGGUUACUCAGUUUUUUUUUUUUUU